rnacentral:rRNA from 1 species
GAUGAACGCUGGCGGCGUGCCUAAUACAUGCAAGUCGAGCGAACAGACGAGGAGCUAGCUCCUCUGACGUUAGCGGCGGACGGGUGAGUAACACGUGGAUAACCUACCUAUAAGACUGGGAUAACUUCGGGAAACCGGAGCUAAUACUGGAUAAUAUAUUGAACCGCAUGGUUCAAUAGUGAAAGACGGUUUUGCUGUCACUUAUAGAUGGAUCCGCGCCGCAUUAGCUAGUUGGUAAGGUAACGGCUUACCAAGGCAACGAUGCGUAGCCGACCUGAGAGGGUGAUCGGCCACACUGGAACUGAGACACGGUCCAGACUCCUACGGGAGGCAGCAGUAGGGAAUCUUCCGCAAUGGGCGAAAGCCUGACGGAGCAACGCCGCGUGAGUGAUGAAGGUCUUCGGAUCGUAAAACUCUGUUAUUAGGGAAGAACAAAUGUGUAAGUAACUAUGCACGUCUUGACGGUACCUAAUCAGAAAGCCACGGCUAACUACGUG